GAUGAACGCUGGCGGCGUGCCUAAUACAUGCAAGUCGAGCGAACAGACGAGGAGCUUGCUCCUCUGACGUUAGCGGCGGACGGGUGAGUAACACGUGGAUAACCUACCUAUAAGACUGGGAUAACUUCGGGAAACCGGAGCUAAUACCGGAUAAUAUAUUGAACCGCAUGGUUCAAUAGUGAAAGACGGUUUUGCUGUCACUUAUAGGUGGAUCCGCGCCGCAUUAGCUAGUUGGUAAGGUAAUGGCUUACCAAGGCAACGAUGCGUAGCCGACCUGAGAGGGUGAUCGGCCACACUGGAACUGAGACACGGUCCAGACUCCUACGGGAGGCAGCAGUAGGGAAUCUUCCGCAAUGGGCGAAAGCCUGACGGAGCAACGCCGCGUGAGUGAUGAAGGUCUUCGGAUCGUAAAACUCUGUUAUUAGGGAAGAACAAAUGUGUAAGUAACUAUGCACGUCUUGACGGUACCUAAUCAGAAAGCCACGGCUAACUACGUG
rnacentral:rRNA from 1 species